rnacentral:tRNA from 2 species
GGGGCUGUAGCUCAGCUGGGAGAGCACCUGCUUUGCAAGCAGGGGGGUCAGCGGUUCGAUCCCGCUCAGCUCCACCA